GGGAUUGUGGCUCAGUGGUAGAGUGCUUGCGAGCAUGUGUGAGGCACUGGGUUCGAUUCUCAGCACCUCA
rnacentral:tRNA from 1 species